AUGGUUGAUUAUGAAUGCAAAUUGGUGUAUGUAAAAUUAUUUUCUCUGUUUUUUGGGUAUGGUUCAUUGCAGAGCAUACAUGUACCAGGUCCGCAAAAGAAUUAUUGUUCCUUUUCUAUGAGAUAUAAUUUUAUAAAAAACAUUGUGAUGUACAGCCACUGUAGAAACGAUGUCUACCAGAGUGAUACAUUAGUAAAAACUAGACAAGAAAACUGA
rnacentral:lncRNA from 1 species